rnacentral:rRNA from 1 species
GGCGAACGGGUGAGUAACACGUGGGCAACCUGCCCUCAGCUCUGGGACAACUCCGGGAAACCGGGGCUAAUACCGGAUACGACAGAUCCUCGCAUGAGGUGUCUGUGGAAAGAUUUAUCGGCUGAGGAUGGGCCCGCGGCCUAUCAGCUUGUUGGUGGGGUGAUGGCCUACCAAGGCGACGACGGGUAGCCGGCCUGAGAGGGCGACCGGCCACACUGGGACUGAGACACGGCCCAGACUCCUACGGGAGGCAGCAGUGGGGAAUAUUGCGCAAUGGGCGGAAGCCUGACGCAGCGACGCCGCGUGAGGGAUGAAGGCCUUCGGGUUGUAAACCUCUUUCAGCAGGGACGAAGCGAGAGUGACGGUACCUGCAGAAGAAGCACCGGCCAACUACGUGCCAGCAGCCGCGGUAAUACGUAGGGUGCAAGCGUUGUCCGGAAUUAUUGGGCGUAAAGAGCUCGUAGGCGGUCUGUCGCGUCGGCUGUGAAAACUCGGGGCUCAACCCCGAGCCUGCAGUCGAUACGGGCAGACUAGAGUGCUGUAGGGGAGACUGGAAUUCCUGGUGUAGCGGUGAAAUGCGCAGAUAUCAGGAGGAACACCGGUGGCGAAGGCGGGUCUCUGGGCAGUAACUGACGCUGAGGAGCGAAAGCGUGGGGAGCGAACAGGAUUAGAUACCCUGGUAGUCC